UGGCUCAGUGGUAGAGUGCUUGCCUUUCAUGCAUGAGGCCCUGGGUUCGAUUCCUGA
rnacentral:tRNA from 1 species